GAAGCACUGUAACACCCAUCAACGAUACCACCACCUGAUCACCAACCAUCACCGCCAUCAACAACCACCACCAGCCGCCGCCACCACUAGCAUCCCUGCCAUCACCACCAUUGACCGCCACAUCCACCCUGGUGUCUUCUUCCCCGUGUAACCCUGGAAAUCGGCCCUAAUUUCAUUUCGCAAUUUUGUGUUCAAUCGGUGUGGUUUCCACUCAAAAACUAUAGGGCUUUUACUCACAACGAGAAUACGAGUAGAAUGGUAUAGGUAUUACCUUCAAUCGUUGCCCGGUGACAGCCGGCGGCUUUAGCCGGAGUAAUAACGGCGGCGGUGGCUGUAUAUAGAGGGUAGAACAUGGUCGAUUUGAGGGAGACUAACAAUUUCCAGGUUUGAUCGAGUUAUAAAAUCUUCCUAGUUUACAACCAAAUAAAAAUUUGAUGUUUGUUCAGAAUAUGAAAUUGAAGAUAAAUUAGGGUUUGGUGGAGUUAUAAAAUCUUUAUAUUCGUAUACUGGCAGAUGGAUUGGUUUAAAAUUAUGGAGCUUUGAUUCUGGUGAUAGAUUUUGGUUUAAAAUUCAAGAUGAACUUAAACAAAUGGUGGAGUUUAUAUAUGAAUGAGUAAAUUGCCACUCUAGAUCCAGGUCGUGUCGGGUCGGGUCUUAACUAUCGAGAUCGAGGUGGUUGGUGGUUGCGGUUUAGAAAAAGAGAGGCAAAGGUGUUACAAAUGGUGUGGUGGGAGAUUGUUGUGGUGGUGGGUGGUGGCGGGCUGCCAGCGUCGAUAAUGGUGGUUUCGGUUUAGAAAGAGAGAGGCAGAGGUGUUACAGGUUGUGUGGUGGGAGAUCGUUGUGGUGGUGGGUGGUGGUGGACUGGCGGCGUUGAUGAUGGUGGGUGGUGAUGCACCGGAGACGUGGUGGUGGUCAACGGAAAUGUAGAUAGAGAGAGAUGUGAACAAUAAGAUAGUUGUUUAUAUAAUGGGUUAAAAAGAUUGGACUAAAAUGACAGAGUUAAGCAAUGUGAUCAAAAUGGCAAAGAAAUGCAAAACUCAGGAACCCAGAGAAGAAAAAAAUUAUUUGGACUAAAAUGACAAUUUAGGACAAACCUCAGGGACUAAAAUAAGACAAUUUACUCUUACGAAUAUAAUCAAACAUAUUAUAUAUUUUUUUGGUCAGCAUACGAUUCAAAGUUAGAUGACUAGAUUGUAUUUAUACUUGUUGCUACACACUUGUUAUUGUUUCCACUCAUAAUCGGCUAAUAUUAUAUGUAGUGGCGGAACUAGUCCAUUAAAUUAGAAGUAUCUC
rnacentral:lncRNA from 1 species